UACUCACACAACUAUAGCAUCGAGAUAGUCACUGACAAGUAAGUAGACAUCGAUGUGAUUUCUCAUUUUUGAUCAUGUUCAAUACUAUUAUUUUCUAACAACCAUCUGCACUCUCACUUCAGUAUCCUCAUAUUGUAGACUCAAGAUCUGUCUAUCCAAAAGGGAAGCGAUCUACGUACCAAUCUUGUCGGAUCGAUCACCAUCCGCAUGAUGAUCAUCGAUUAAGAGUAGUUUAGAAAUUAAUCUAUAAUGACACAUGUCUUUGUUAGAUGUAUGUCCUAGAAGCUAAUUAUUGGCUAGCAUAUUUUUAUUCUAUGACAUAAAUUUAUGAUGUAG
rnacentral:lncRNA from 1 species